rnacentral:rRNA from 1 species
GCCCAACUAGCCGCCAUGACCACGUCUCCUUUUAUUCCUGCGCGUGUUACUGUAGCGACGAGGGGAAGGGAUAAGGUCCCGAGCGCCGCGUCCAGCAUCCUCUCUCAUCUCCCUUUCCCCUCGCUCGCUUCCUCCUCCCGAGCCCGCAGAUCCCUAGCCGCCUUCUCCCGCAGCACCUCAGCCGCCUCCUCUCGCUCUCCACCCAGCUGCUCGCCACCACUUCGCCGCCUCCUCCUCCCCUGCUCCUCUGACCUCGAAGCCCCAACGCAUGGUUGCCGCCGCCGCUCGUGUCUUUCUUCCCGCAGCCUCCUGCGGGACGAUGCCUCCCCAUCCUCCAUUAGUCGCCGCUGUGGGAUGUGGUUCUGGACCGGUCCCAGGUCGCUGCCGAGGAGCAGAGGAGGACGAUCGUGGGGGGAAGGAGCAGAGGAGGACGUCACUGGGAAGGUGCAGCGAGCCUCCCCAUCCUCCAUUAGCCGCCGCUGUGGGAUGUGGUUCUGGACCGGUCCCAGGUCGCUGCCGAGGAGCAGAGGAGGACGACAGCGAGGGGAAGGAGCAGAGGAGGACGUCACUGGGGAAGGUGCAGCGAGCCCGAAGGUCCAGACGGCGCCCUCGUCAUGUGCCGGAUGCUGCUCGCCAGCCCUCUUUGUCGUCCUCAAUCUAGAUGUGUGAAGAUCCGAGACAGAAAAGAGGAGGAAGAAUUUUGACGAAGAGUUCGGUGAUGGGGAACAUGCCGACACGGGCUGCCGGUCCACCCAGCGCGCGGGUAGCUGUGCAGAUCUCUAAUCGGCACCCUCCCUAUGGCACCGCCCCACAAUGCCGACCAGCAUUGAAUAUGCCAUGGAUCCGCCAAGCAGACGCCUCAGGACGGUCAUCCAGAAUGCUAUCCUGCCUCCAUUCAAGCCCAGGCGCUCUUCACUUGCUUCAUAAUUUCUGAAUAAAUGCAUCUAUGUUCAGUCUGAUUUUAAAUUGCACUGAAACUAGAAAGCAGUGGAUGCCUUGGUGUUAUGUUCCAACAAAAAAUAGGAAGGAAGCAGCAAGUGGAAUAGAACUUGAAGGAUAAAAAAUAUGAGGAAAAUGAAAGCAGCUACCACGCCCAUCUGAAAAGCUAAAAAAUUGGAGAAGGUCCUGAAAGUAAAAAGCAAGAGGUCAAGGAUUCAGUCUGCCAAGUCUUUGUAUGAUUAAAAUUUUAGUGGCUAGCAUAAUUUUUUGUACCAGUAUGUUUCCGACUUUCCGCCUGCAGAUCAACCACAUCUAUGUGUUUGAAAAGAACCCGCUUUCCUCAAAAGAUUGCUACUACCUGCUUCUUUACAACACUUCACGGAUGACUUGUGAUGACACCUGGUAUUAAUUAGUACAGUAGGAACGAUGGGUUUUUCAUCACAUUCUUUGAUGUCAAUCAUUGCAAAGUUGUAACGUACUAAAUCCUAAUAUGCCAAUGCAGCAAAAAAAGUCUUAUUUUUCAGAUUGCACCAAGAAAAAACUGCUUCCAUGGCUUCCUCGGCCUCCCUGUCGUGCUCGAGAUGGAGAUGCCUCCCUGCUUCACCACUACUAGGUACCUCUUCUUCCUCAGCUUCGUCCUCCUCCUAGCAGUGGAUGCUGCAGGCCCAUCUCCCCAAGCACCCCACCCUCGCCAUGGAUUGAGUGGGAGGUCAGUUUGCUCUGAAUCCCUGAGAGUUUUGGUCCUGCAUCUCUUGCUCAAUCAGCGGGCUGAUCUUUGCCGGCGCCGGGGUGACAUCACCAGAACUGCUGCAUCUUCAUCUGGUUUGCUUUAGAUAACGAGAGCAAGGCAAGCAGCUUGCCAAAAACAAAGGUGGAUGCAGAAGGAACAUCACUUGUUGGCUCCCUUGACAGAAAUGCGGAGUUUUACAUGAUUUACGAGGACAUGUCUUCUUGGAUGGAUGUGGAUUAUUUGGUUCCUUUGUGGGAACUGAUAACAUUUUGUUUACAUAUUUACUGCUCGACCGUAUGCCCAUAAGGAUUGUUUGAUCUCUUUUUCUACGCAGACUGCAGGUGUAGGUCCCCUGCUCACUAAGGACAAGGAUCAGAAUCGGGACAUGAAUCUGAACUAUGAUAUUUGGAUUUACGAUCUCAUUCAUGGAAAUUGUGCAAGAUAAUGAGCAACAGACAUUAUUUCAUCCCAGUGAAGCUCCAGUACAUGAUUGUACACCUCCUAUGCCCGCUUAAUUGUGUGUUCAUUUUGUUAAUCAAGAAGCAUUUGAUUUUAUGGCUGGCGCGACUGCUUCGUGUGCUGCCUCGAGUCGCGCGGCCACUACGCCCGCGCCGAGUCGGAGGCCGCUGCCACUCUCGACGCCCUCCGCUGCGCGCUCUCGCCGGCGGCGUUCGCAAAGCCUUGUCGCGGCGCUGCAAGUGUUGCCCCCCUCCUCCCCAAGGGCAAGGUGAAGGAAGGUGCCUGUGUGGUUCUUCUGCAGCUCGCAGCGAGGAUUGCUGUGUCCAACCUGCACAAGAAUGCCAAGAAGUCCUCGGAGACGAUUAAGGACACAUACCUGUACUACAACGAGAGAUAUCUGGGCUGCUUCUUUGUGGCUUCCAAACAUGAAAUGUUUGUUUGGAAGUUAGUUUAGUUUUUUGUUGUGGAUUCACAGCUUCUCACAUGUACCAUCGUUUUAGACCUUUAGGUUUCGAAAGAAACUAAAUGAAGAUACGGUGGUAUGGUCUCAAUAGUACAACUUAAAGCCUUCAAAGCUUUAUAUUUUCUCUGAAAUUUGCUCUUGAAGAAUUAUGUAUCUAUGUUAGAUCUGGUGAGUAAAGACGGCUUCCAAGCAGAGGAUGCGGGAGUGUUGGCCACAUUUGGUUUUCGACUUGGGUGUCUAAAUAUUCUCACAAUACUUGGCUCCCUUUCGCCCUUGCGCCAUUGGCGUAACGAGUCAUCUAGUAAAAGUAAAAGAUAGGCCCUUCGCAGAGGGAAGCAGAGGUUGUCAUGCACUUUUAUGGUUGGAUGUACAAAAUCUUAAUGUGAAAGAACGUCACUUUAUAUUGCC